GAUGAAGAACGUAGCGAAAUGCGAUAAGUAAUGUGAAUUGCAGAAUUCAGUGAAUCAUCGAAUCUUUGAACGCACAUUGCGCCCCUUGGUAUUCCAUGGGGCAUGCCUGUUCGAGCGUCAUUUGUACCUUCAAGCUUUGCUUGGUGUUGGGUGUUUGUCCUGAGGGACUCGCCUUAAAGUAAUUGGCAGCCAGUGUUUGGUUUUGAAGCGCAGCACAAGUCGCGAUUCAAAGCUAUACGCCCGCUUCCACAAGCCUUUUUCACUUUUGACCUCGGAUCAGGUAGGGAUACCCGCUGAACUUAAGCAUAUCAAUAAGCGGAGG
rnacentral:misc_RNA from 1 species